rnacentral:tRNA from 1 species
GCGGGUGUGGCGAAAUUGGUAGACGCACUAGACUUAGGAUCUAGCGGGCAACCAUGGGGGUUCGAGUCCCUCCACCCGCACCA